AGCACUGUCAUAACACACAUAGGGGUGGCCCCUGGUUACCACCUGCUAGAAGCUUCCUGGAGUCUCCUUAGCUCCUAAACUCCUGAAAACUUUUCCUUGACAAUCUGGACUUGGAGAUGGUUGCCAUUUGCUGCCCUGCCAUGUUCCAUGAUGGGAAAUUUCAGAAGGCAGGAGGGCAAGGUGGGUGGGCAAUCUUGGUCCCUAAAUGAAGCCCUUUCUGCUAACGUACCUGUUACAUCACAGUGAUGACUUUAGAACUGCUGUGUGGCACGUUUUAUGAACAUGAGUGUAAGCCUGUGGCAUCUGGUCCCUGCCCAGUGCAUCUCUGAUGCCCACUCCCUGGGCUCAGCCCCUCCUUCAGGGCAGGUUCUGAGCAAAGCAAGAGGAUGUCGCCAGGAUGGCUGGGGCUGCAAGCGUGGAUCCCAGAAGCCCCUACAGCAGGACCACCGCAGAGGUCAGCUGGCCCCCAGCUUCCUCAGCCCAGGCACUGGGGGACUUUUUGGUUGGGACCCUUGGGCAAUCCCCCGCUGUUACCCAAACGGUCACAGGGUCUGUCUGGGACCAAGCACAGGACCGGCUUCUCUGAAAGUUUCUCCUGAGAGGAAAUGUG
ensembl:lncRNA